rnacentral:rRNA from 1 species
GACGAACGCUGGCGGCGUGCUUAACACAUGCAAGUCGAACGGAAAGGCCCUUCGGGGUACUCGAGUGGCGAACGGGUGAGUAACACGUGGGUGAUCUGCCCUGCACUUUGGGAUAAGCCUGGGAAACUGGGUCUAAUACCGAAUAUGAUCAUCGGCUUCAUGGUCGGUGGUGGAAAGCUUUUGCGGUGUGGGAUGGGCCCGGGGCCUAUCAGCUUGUUGGUGGGGUAAUGGCCUACCAAGGCGACGAGGGGUAGCCGGCCUGAGAGGGUGACCGGCCACAAUGGUACUGAGAUACGGCCCCGAAUCCUACGGGAGGCAGCAGUGGGGAAUAUUGCACAAUGGGCGGAAGCCUGAUGCAGCGACGCCGCGCGAGGGAUGACGGCCUUCGGGUUGUAAACCUCUUUCACCCAUGACGAAGCGCAAGUGACGGUAGUGGGAGAAGAAGGACCGGCCAACUACGUGCCAGCCGCCGCGGUAAAAC